rnacentral:rRNA from 1 species
AGAGUUUGAUCCUGGCUCAGAACGAACGCUGGCGGCGUGCUUUAGACAUGCAAGUCGUGCGAGAAAGUCACCUUCGGGUGGCGAGUAGAGCGGCGCACGGGUGAGUAACGCGUGGGUAAUCUACCCAAGGGUCUGGAAUAACAUCGGGAAACUGGUGCUAAUGCCGGAUAAGACCACGACGACUUCGGUCGACGCGGAAAAAGGUGGCCUCUUCUUGAAAGCUACCGCCCAUGGAUGAGCCCGCGUUCCAUUAGCUUGUUGGUGGGGUAACGGCCUACCAAGGCUACGAUGGAUAGCUGGUCUGAGAGGAUGAUCAGCCACACUGGAACUGAGACACGGUCCAGACUCCUACGGGAGGCAGCAGUCGGGAAUUUUGGGCAAUGGGCGAAAGCCUGACCCAGCAACGCCGCGUGAGGGAUGAAGGCCUUCGGGUCGUAAACCUCUGUCGGAAGGGAAGAAAGGUCGUUAGUCGAAUAGGCCGGUGGGCUGACGGUACCUCCAAAGGAAGGGCCGGCUAACUUCGUGCCAGCAGCCGCGGUAAUACGAAGGGCCCGAGCGUUGCGCGGAAUCACUGGGCUUAAAGCGUACGUAGGCGGACAGACAGGCGUCUUGUGAAAUCCCUCGGCUCAACCGAGGAACUGCUCGGCGAACCGUCUGUCUUGAGGCAAGUAGGGGCUGUCGGAACGAUAGGUGGAGUGGUGAAAUGCGUUGAUAUCUAUCGGAACGCCGAAGGAGAAAUCAGGCAGCUGGGCUUGUCCUGACGCUGAGGUACGAAAGCGUGGGGAGCGAACGGGAUUAGAUACCCCGGUAGUCCACGCCGUAAACGAUGCGCACUAGAUCGUGGAGGUUCUGACACCGCUCACGGUCGAAGCAAAAGUGUUAAGUGCGCCGCCUGGGGAGUACGGUCGCAAGGCUAAAACUCAAAGGAAUUGACGGGGACCCGCACAAGCGGUGGAGUAUGUGGCUUAAUUCGAUGCAACGCGAAGAACCUUACCUGGGCUUGACAUGCUGGUAGUACCAACCUGAAAGGGAAGGGAUCCCGCAAGGGAAGCCGGCACAGGUGGUGCAUGGCUGUCGUCAGCUCGUGUCGUGAGAUGUUGGGUUAAGUCCCGCAACGAGCGCAACCCUUGUCCCUAGUUGCCAGCAGGUAAUACUGGGCACUCUAGGUGGACUGCCUACGCAAGUAGUGAGGAAGGUGGGGAUGACGUCAAGUCCUCAUGGCCCUUACAUCCGGGGCCACACACGUGCUACAAUGGCCGCUACAAAGGGUUGCAGAGCCGCGAGGUGAAGCUAAUCCCAAAAAAGCGGUCUCAGUUCGGAUUGGAGUCUGCAACUCGACUCCGUGAAGUCGGAAUCGCUAGUAAUCGCGCAUCAGAACGUCGCGGUGAAUACGUUCCCGGGCCUUGUACACACCGCCCGUCAAGCCAUGGAAGCUGGGAGUACCCGAAACCGCUGCGCUAACCCCGGUGUAAGUCGGGGAGGCAAGCGUCUAAGGCAAGCCCAGUGACUAGGGCUAAGUCGUAACAAGGUAACC